UAUUUGGAAAUGGGACGAUUGCAUUCCGGAAAUGAAGGGGGCGCUAUUUUCAUAAUCACUAGUAUAAAUACCUUAAGACGCGGGGUUAAGAGGAAAGGAAGAAGAAAGAAAGAAGUUUGAGAGGUUCUUCCACUGGUGUUCGGCACACGAUCACGGAUCAAUGCAAAACUCACAAAGUCAACAAAAGAUCGACGUAUCUAUUUGCAACAUUCGGAACGGAGAGAAGAUUCUUCCGUAUUGCAUGAAAGAUAAAUAUUUCUGUCCCCUUUGCUAAUACAAGCUACAGAACCAUUUAGCACAAACUGCUAUGGUUCAACAUAACGAUGCCUCUGAAUGUUCUUGAAGCUGUUCUCCAGGAGGUGAUACCAGCACAGGGAGACUCAGCUUACCUCACCUUGGCAUUGACCUGCAAGUGCUUUGAAGCCGUUGUGUCUGACCCAGUUUUCAGGAAGAAGACUCACUUUGCUUGGCUGGAUGGUGAGAUCAACUGGGGCAAAUUUUCAAAAACAUUCAAGGCAGAAAACCGGAUUCCUUUUGCGGUUGUAACGUGUUUUUCCUGCCACCGGUAAUAUAAAGACUGUGGGCUUCACCGGCGAUGGAAGACGAGGAGAGUACCCUGGUUACAGCCAGUGCAGUGGACACUGCACUGGCUGUCAAUACUGAAUGCAAGGAGAACAUUAGUUAAAGACUGAGGUCUUUCACACAUUUCAGUUGUCACACAUUGUUCGUUUUUUUUGUGACAUGCCAUUUUAAAUCAUUUCUGCUAAAGAAUAUUUGCCUUUUGACUUGU